AGCAGCCGCGGUAAUUCCAGCUCCAAUAGCGUAUAUUAAAGUUGUUGCAGUUAAAAAGCUCGUAGUUGAAUUUCGGGGUUAGUAGGUUGGUCAUGCCUCCGGUAUGUACUGAUCUCACUGAUUCCUCCUUCCUUAUGAACCGUAAUGCCAUUAAUUUGGUGUUGCGGGGAAUUUGGACUGUUACUUUGAAAAAUUAGAGUGUUUAAAGCAGGCUAACGCUUGAAUACAUUAGCAUGGAAUAAUGAAAUAGGACGUUCGAUCUUAUUUUGUUGGUUUCUAGGAUUGACGUAAUGAUUAAUAGGGAUAGUUGGGGCAUUAGUAUUCAAUUGUCAGAGGUGAAAUUCUUGGAUUUAUUGAAGACUAACUACUGCGAAAGCAUUUUGCCAAGGAUGUUUUCAUUAAUCAAGAACGAAAGUUAGGGGAUCGAAGACGAUCAGAUACCGUCGUAGU
rnacentral:rRNA from 1 species